rnacentral:lncRNA from 1 species
UUUUUUUUUCUAAUCUACGAUAUUAGCGAUUGCCAUUAAUUUUCCGGUCUUUUGUAGAAUUGCAUUUCAGAUUUUAGACAACUCUUACAUAGAUAUAACUUUUUAUUUCUUCAUUAUCAGUAUUAACAAUUUAUUAUCCACUUCUUAUCUACCAAAAUAUAAAAAAAUGAAGAAAUAAAUAUACAAUUUUUGAUAUUUGAUAUUAUUUUGAUGAUAUGUUCUUUUCGUGGUGAUUCCGUGGCAUGAGCCUUUUUGAAUACUUUUAUACGUUUUCCUUAUGUUCUUCUUCGUGUGCAACUGCCACUCAUCUGUAUUCAUGCACUGUCAUUUUAUACCCCAAAAUAUUUCCCCAAAGUAGACAAUAUUUUCUGCUAGUUAGAUUUGUCAAUAUGCAUGUUAGUGAGAGGCAACCACUUAUUAUUCCAUUGGUGGGGGGAAUAUAAUGUUAGAAAGAACUAUCCUAAGAACUUGAUAAAAGGAAACUUGUCAAUGCAUGAAAAAUAUUAUUAUGCACAUCAAAAUAUAGAACAUUGUUGCGUCCAAUAAUGCAAAUAGAUAAUGAAUACUGCCAUACUUACAACAGGUGAAAAUGAAUCAGCAAACAAUACCCCCACCCCUUCCCCCGAAAAUAAAAUGAUUGUCCCAUUAAAUGAUAUUGUUGAAGUUUGUAUAUAUAUCACAAACACGAACUGAAUAAAGUACAUUAUUUCAAAGCUUACGUCUGUUGUUAUAAUCAAUGUGACCCCUUGUAGAAUACUUUUAGAGUGACAGUUUUGUGUCGUUUCGGCACUUUCAGCGCCCUAUUGGUAUUAUGUGGCCUUUUUUUAUUCUAAAGUGGUAUGUGUACUCUCAAACAGCUAUGACAUGUUUAAAAUUGUUAAUAUUUGUAAAUAUGAUUUAAUAUAAAAUUUAUUCCUUAUGAAAGAAUCAAUUUUUAAUUUUUUAUAAAAGAAGCCUUACCCUUUUGAACAACUUAACAUUUAUCAAUGAUAUUGCAUUAUACAUCAUACUGAUGUGUAUGCUUUAACACUCUGUAUUAAAAGGACAUUGAUUACACUGUUCCACAUAUUGUUUAACUGCACUGUUGAUAUAUUGCAGUUAUGACAACUAACUGAACUAAUAUAUUAUAUCAUUAUCAUCACAUGUUGUUUUAGAU